GAUGAACGCUGGCGGCGUGCCUAAUACAUGCAAGUCGAGCGAACAGACGAGGAGCUUGCUCCUCUGACGUUAGCGGCGGACGGGUGAGUAACACGUGGAUAACCUACCUAUAAGACUGGGAUAACUUCGGGAAACCGGAGCUAAUACCGGAUAAUAUAUUGAACCGCAUGGUUCAAUAGUGAAAGACGGUUUUGCUGUCACUUAUAGAUGGAUCCGCGCCGCAUUAGCUAGUUGGUAAGGUAACGGCUUACCAAGGCGACGAUGCGUAGCCGACCUGGGAGGGUGAUCGGCCACACUGGAACUGAGACACGGUCCAGACUCCUACGGGAGGCAGCAGUAGGGAAGCUUCCGCAAUGGGCGAAAGCCUGACGGAGCAACGCCGCGUGAGUGAUGAAGGUCUUCGGAUCGUAAAACUCUGUUAUUAGGGAAGAACAAAUGUGUAAGUAACUAUGCACGUCUUGACGGUACCUAAUCAGAAAGCCACGGCUAACUACGUG
rnacentral:rRNA from 1 species